rnacentral:rRNA from 1 species
UGGGGAAUCUUGGACAAUGGGGGCAACCCUGAUCCAGCGACGCCGCGUGGGUGAUGAAGGCCUUCGGGUUGUAAAGCCCUUUUCCCGGGGACGAUGAUGACGGUACCCGGGGAAUAAGCACCGGCUAACUCCGUGCCAGCAGCCGCGGUAAGACGGAGGGUGCUAGCGUUGUUCGGAAUGACUGGGCGUAAAGGGCGCGUAGGCGGCUUUUCGAGUCGGGUGUGAAAGCCCGGGGCUCAACCCCGGAACGGCAUCCGAUACUGGGAGGCUUGAGACCGGGAGAGGAGGGUGGAAUAUCCAGUGUAGAGGUGAAAUUCGUAGAUAUUGGAUGGAACACCAGUGGCGAAAGCGGCUCUCUGGCCCGGAUCUGACGCUGAGGCGCGAAAGCGUGGGGAGCAAACAGG